rnacentral:rRNA from 1 species
AUUGAACGCUAGCGGGAUGCCUUACACAUGCAAGUCGAACGAGUGGCGGACGGGUGAGUAAUGUCUGGGAAACUGCCCGAUGGAGGGGGAUAACUACUGGAAACGGUAGCUAAUACCGCAUACCAUCGGAUGUGCCCAGAUGGGAUUAGCUAGUAGGUGGGGUAAUGGCUCACCUAGGCGACGAUCCCUAGCUGGUCUGAGAGGAUGACCAGCCACACUGGAACUGAGACACGGUCCAGACUCCUACGGGAGGCAGCAGUGGGGAAUAUUGCACAAUGGGCGCAAGCCUGAUGCAGCCAUGCCGCGUGUAUGAAGAAGGCCUUCGGGUUGUAAAGUACUUUCAGCGAGGAGGCGUUACUCGCAGAAGAAGCACCGGCUAACUCCGUGCCAGCAGCCGCGGUAAUAC